GAGAAUCUGUAAAGCUCAGGAGGGAUAGCGCCAUGGAUGAAUAUUAGUAACACUAUUGCUUGUUUUAGCCAUCUGUAGCGCUAUCCAUCCUGAGUUUCAUAGCUUCUU
rnacentral:pre_miRNA from 1 species